AUCUUCUCUCCUUCAGUUAUACAUCGAGUUUCGGUGCAGUACCACAUCUCACCAUCGGUGUCGCUGCAGCGGAAGCUGUGCUGUUUAAGUCAGAUGAAGACCUUCUUCGGCGCAUUGGUCAUCAGGAAGCGUUUCUGUUUAUGUUCACCAGGUGGAGCUUUCAUAUAUAUAUAUAUUUAUAUAUAUAUUAAUGAAGCUAAAGUAAACAUGGAGUCCGUAUUUUCCCGGUUUGACUCCUAUAAUUUCGAGGCAGAUGAGCGUUUUGCCGACGGCCUGAAGACUUUAAACUGCAGAGAGCAAACCGAGCUGCUAAAACUGAAGCUGUUCUUCUAUAACAGGUUUGUGGAACCAAUAGAUCAGCAAAGCUACAAACAGUGGAUCUCUCUGUCUUGUAACAACCAGCAGGACCAAACUGCUCAGUCAGAUCCAGACUCAAAUGAAACAGAAAUGUCUGCAGAUGGAGAAACAAAGCAGCUUUCUUUUGCAGAGGUGAUGCAACUGGUUCAAGAAGGAAGAGAAGUGCCAGGAGUGACGAAGCCGGACGUCCAGCCCAGCAACCAGAGUCCCACUCCGUCUCAGAUGCAAAGAGUGCAGAAACCGUGGGAAACUACACCAUCAUAACUGAACUUCCACUUAAAAACCAAUGUAAGAUUUAAAUGGCUGAAAAAAUUACAUGAACUCAAAGACUUUUUACCACAUAAAUCCUAACAGUGUUGAUCUGUCAGAUGCUGUGGAAUCAACAGUCUAGCAAUUUUUUUGUGGUAAGACUAAGAAAUUAAGUUGUUAAUUUAUUAUAUUUUAGACUUUAGUCAGUUUUACAUUGACUUACAUGUCCUAAGGUUUUCAAUUAGGUUUUGAGCAGAACUGCAUAAUGUCUGAACUUUUGGUUUUCAAUCUGUUCCUCUUUUUUUGUCAGUUUUAUCAAAAUAAAACUUGGGAAGAAGAAAACACUGAUUUAAAGAUAAAAGAAAUGUUCACGCUCAUCCGUCUGGUCCUGUAGCGUAAAAUGGUGGCUCCCACAGAUGUCUUCAGAUGAGUGGACCAGGCUCUAUGCAGGCAUCUGAGAAAAUUAUUUUGCUGUUUAACUGCUCCAGCUAUAAUCUGUGCCAUGAAUGAUACCCUCUGUAACCGAAACUGCAAGUAGUUCAGUUAGAAAUCGUGACUUUUUGUCAUCCCAAUCUGUGUGCUCAUGUAAUAAAAAUAAAAGUUCAACUUUGCACAUUUUAUACAAAAUCUAGAUGAGGUGACAUGGCUUAAAAAUAAAAUCUCAGAUUUUUUCAUACCAGA